rnacentral:rRNA from 1 species
UACGGAAGGUCCGGGCGUUAUCCGGAUUUAUUGGGUUUAAAGGGUGCGCAGGCGGGAUGCCAAGUCAGCCGUUAAAUUUCCGGGCUCAACCCGGUCGUGCGGUUGAAACUGACGUCCUUGAGUACGGUAGAGGGAGCCGGAAUUCGUGGUGUAGCGGUGAAAUGCAUAGAUAUCACGAGGAACUCCGAUUGCGAAGGCAGGCUCCCGGGCCGGAACUGACGCUCAUGCACGAAGGCGCGGGUAUC